UUGCCUACGGGGGGCAGCAGUGGGGGAUAUUGCACAAUGGGGGAAACCCUGAUGCAGCGACGCCGCGUGAGUGAAGAAGUAUUUCGGUACGUAAAGCUCUAUCAGCAGGGAAGAAUAAUGACGGUACCUGACUAAGAAGCCCCGGCUAACUACGUGCCAGCAGCCGCGGUAAUACGUAGGGGGCAAGCGUUAUCCGGAUUUACUGGGUGUAAAGGGAGCGUAGGCGGCGAUGCAAGUCAGAAGUGAAAGCCCGGGGCUCAACUCCGGGACUGCUUUUGAGACUGUGUUGCUAGAUUGCAGGAGAG
rnacentral:rRNA from 1 species